UGAGCCCCGUGAUGGGGCUCCCGGAGCGCCUCCCCGCUUUCCUGGGCGUGAGCUGGGCCUCCGAGGGCUUGCGAGCCCUUCCAACCCCAUCAAUUCCUAUUGUGUUAUCUAGGGAGACUGGAGUGGUGGGCAGGAAACGACUGGGGAGUCCAGGAAAAGAUAAUUAAGUGCAUAAGUUUGGGGGCAGACGGCACGAGCGCGGUCGGAAUCGGGUGCAGGUGCGGCGGAGGCCGAGGCGCACACUCACGACCCGAGAGGUCUGUCCGCCUAGCAGGGGCCUCGGGGGGCGCUCCAGCCCCCGCGACCGUGUCUCCGGCCUGCUCCGGGAUCUUCCGACAGUUUCUUAAAAAAAAAAAAAAGAAAGAAAGAAAGAAAAUGUUUCAAAAAACAUUUUAUUUUUAUUUGAGAGGGAGGGAGAGAGAGAGAACGACAGCAGGGGGAGGGGCGGAGCUCCGUGUAGGGCUCCCUCCUGGGGCUCCAUCCCGGGGCUCCACCAGGGACUCUCUUCUGGGACUCUGUGAUCAUGACCUGAGCCGAAGGCUGACCCUUCACCAACUCAGCCACCCAGAAAGAAUUAUCAAUGAAGAGCCCAACAGAAGAAUCAGCAGCAGGAAAGAAUCAUCAAUCACAGGCUCCUGCAAGGGAAAGAUGUAUUUCGUAUCUCUGACAACAUCUCCACUACCCCUGCAACUCAGCCCUUUGGAAACCAUCAUGACCUGGACUUCUGCUAUUUUUUCCCCCCCAAUGGACUUUUGUUUGGAAAAAACCCUCCCAGCUUCAUUCUUCUUCUGCACAAAAUAAUGUUCCUCUUUGUUUGUUGCAUGUCCAGAAUUGGAAUUCUGUUAUUCCUGAAAAAAACCAUUUUUUUUGCUAGUAAAAUAACUGAUAGUUUUAUUUUUCAGGUUAAAACUCCAAAAAACUGUCUUUAAAUUCCCUCCUGCACUCCCCAAGCAUCCUGCAUUUCUCAUUCUGUAGUUAAUUGUGUGCUUUUUCAGGGCAGGAACAUAAGUAGCUUAUUCGUCUUUGUUUCACCUAUAUACCUUGUGCAGUACCUGCUUCAGAGUAGACCCCGCAUAAAUGUCUGUUAACAUGUUAGGAUUGUAAAGCCUGAAGUUCAGCUGUGGGUUAAUGAAGAGAGUGGAACAUUUAGGAGUGUGACUAGAUAGGAGGGGUUGUGGUAGAAAAACAGGAGGAGGAAAAUCAGAGGGGUGAGGAAUAAUAUAUUAUCAUGGAGGCCACUGGAGGCCCAUUCCUUAUUUAUUUACCAACCAUCUCUGCAAAAACACCAUGUGCUUGAUGAUAACAUGUUGGCACCAGUAUGGACAAAGGCAAGGAGCUAGGUGAGUGCUGCGUUGUGAAAAGAGAAGUGAAUAGCCCAGUUGGUUGGAGACAGGGCAUGUAGAUUACAGUGGUGGGAUCCAGGAUUGAGAAGGCAAAGUUGGGUCAUUUUGUACCUGAAAAAUUUGCAUAAUCAGGAAGCAAUUGUGAGGGUACUUUGCAGGGGGGUCAGAUGAACAGAGUGGUACUCCAGGAUGGUUACUCUGCAGCACUUGGCAAUGCGAUAUAAGCCAUGAGCUUUGGCUAUUUUUUUUUUUUUUUGGUAAUACGAGUAACUGACAAAAGAUAGUUAUUUCAAAUAAACACAUUGCCAACCACAAGACUAGACAAAGAGCCAGCCCCACUGCCCCCUAGGCUCCUUUGUGAACUUGGUUGAUUUCAAUAAGUGACCAUUUGGGCCACUUGCCUUUUCUCUUCCUGAGCUUUAAAUUCCACACUCUUAUAUUUUAAAUUUUCUAAUAAAGAGUGAGCCUAUAAAACCCUAGCCCCCCACACUUGGCUCUGAUAAAAGCAGAAAACCUGCCUGUGCAUACUUGUAUGCUCGCCAUCCUCCUUCCCCCUGCCCUGUGUGACCUCGCUAUGUGGUUCCAGGUGUGCUGUGUGAUUUCCAGGUCUUAUAAAUAAUAAAUCUCUAUUGUUUCAAAGUU